GGCGGGAACGCUCCCGCUCCAGCUCCCGGGGAAAGGCGGGCCAGUGCCCGGAGCGGGCCUUCUAAGGACUUAUCCCAGCCUGGGCUUUCCGAACCGUCUGGGAGAAAGGUGAAGAACAGCUAGUCAGCUCAAAAACAUGAGCACAACAGGAGUAUCUAAGCCAACUCCCUCCAAAAGCAUCUCAGGCAGACCCUAAGCAGGCCCCUCUGCAAGGCAACUUGUGUUUGGACUUCAGACCUGUCAGGUGUGAAAAGGCAUCCAGAGUUAUCAUCUGUAUCUGUUUCCUUGCUGAUGCCUCUCACAGGGAUAAGACUGCUCUCUCAGACUGCUGUAUGACUGCAGCCUCAGACACGGAGAGCAGAGAAGGCUGCAGAAGCCAUCCUCUUUACUUCAGCUGACAGCAAAAUGCAGAUUUCUUGAAUGUGUGCAAAGGGUAUUGGCUGCCAUACAGGUAUUCAGAAUCCUGGGUGCUGGAAAUCAAGUUUCAGAACAUUAACUUGGUAAUUGUUUUGUGAUAGUGGACCAAUAUUUGUUUAUUGACCAGGACUGGAAUUAGA